ensembl:lncRNA
UGUCAAUAUCAUCUCCAUAGCAGGUUGCUCGGCAAGCUAGCUCUUUCAUCAUGCUCAUUAACCAAGACAGAGCACAGCUCAGGCCAGGAAGUGCAUUGCAGCUGGCCCCCAGCCCGCAGCUCUGUCUCCCUGUGUCGGGCCAGCCUCCCUGACCCUGACCCCCACCACCCACCAGGCCAUGGGCCCACUCAAAGCGCGUCAAAUUAGCACCCGGCAGAUUCCUGCUACAAAGAACCAGGCAACCGAAAAAGCCUGGAGACAGGCUGAUUGGUGCUGCGAGCCCUACACAGUAUGGUGUCUCGAGCAUGGCUGUAUGUGGGCUCUGGCUCUACUGAACGACCGCCUCUGCCAGUCUGUCUGGAUGUAAAACUGUAUUUAAUGGUGUAUGAACAUCAAAGCAAUGGGGGUGGCAUUCAAAAUAAAUGAAUUUCAUUGAAUACAGUUAGAUGGAAUUUUAUGAUGAAAGUGAUGAACAUUGAAUGCAGUUAGAUGGAAUUGGCGUGUAUUUUUGGACAGAAUGAUGAGUGAC